rnacentral:rRNA from 1 species
AUAACCUGCCUCAUACAGGGGGAUAACAGUUAGAAAUGACUGCUAAUACCGCAUAAGCGCACAGAGAUGCAUGUCUCGGUGUGAAAAGCUGAGGCGGUAUGAGAUGGAUCCGCGUCUGAUUAGCUGGUUGGCGGAGUAGAGGCCCACCAAGGCGACGAUCAGUAGCCGACCUGAGAGGGUGGCCGGCCACAUUGGGACUGAGACACGGCCCAAACUCCUACGGGAGGCAGCAG